CGGAAUUAAUGUCCCAGGGCGCUCAGUGCCGUUAUCAGGCUUGGGUGAAUGGGUGACGAGAACUGACAGCAAGGAUUGAUACAAGAAGAAAGGGGAUGGAGCUGAGAUUCAGACAUCAUCUACUUACGUGCCAGAUGCUGGGGAAUACGUCUGGUCCAGGUAGCUGAGAUCGCAAGCUGCUGACUGAGAUUAAGCAGGUUAAGCUUUGGGUGGGAGCCCGAGAUAAGAGACCGUGAGCUGCCAACCUUCGGGAUAUCCAAGGGCGCGAAGAUGGGUGACGCUAGUCAUGUGAACAGACUCGGGGAGACCCAGCAGGAGCCUGGAAUUGCCGACUUUUUGGGUAGCAAACGAGAUGAAGAGCGCCAGCCAAGUCAUUGAACACUGAGAGUGGGACAAGAGCCGAAGACCCCGGCAGGACUGGCUCAGGGGACGACUGAGGCUGUAGAAGCCUGGAGGUUCUUUAUGUAGGUGCUCUCCUCAGAGGCACCAGCUCGAGCUGUUCCUGUGUUACUGCACAGGAAUAAAUUGCUUUAUGGAACGAGAUAUCUGGGACUCUGCUGUGGGAAAGCGGGGUCGAACGCCAUCUUAGAAGAAAGGCAAGUUUUUAUUUACAAGAUGGCAACAUGGGAUAAACAUGAGUCAUCUCUCUGCUCUUCAGGAGGAAGUACUGAAUCUCAAGUUUUCAAGUGGACACAUGCUCAGCCACAGAUAGUUUUGUUUUUACAGGUUACUCCCCAGUUAAGACCAGGAAACCCUAAUUCUAUGUCAAGUAUUUCAGAAUGGUAUUAAUAAAAAACCCUGUGAUUACAAAGUCA